rfam:Chelonia mydas contig43144, whole genome shotgun sequence.
GGCAGUAUUGCCUAGUGGAUGGAGCAGUGGACUGGGACUCGACAGAUCUGGGUUCCAUUCCCAGCUCAGCUA